AGGACGAACGCUGGCGGCGUGCUUAACACAUGCAAGUCGAGCGGAAAGGCCCUUCGGGGUACUCGAGCGGCGAACGGGUGAGUAACACGUGAGCAAUCUGCCCUUAGCUUCGGGAUAGCUCCGGGAAACCGGAAUUAAUACCGAAUAUGACUCCGGCCGACAUCGGCUGUGGUGGAAAGUUUUUCGGCUAGGGAUGAGCUCGCGGCCUAUCAGUCUUGUUGGUGAGGUAACGGCUCACCAAGGCGACGACGGGUA
rnacentral:rRNA from 1 species